ACCCUCUGAAGGGAAAGUUGCAAAGAAACUUUGAAGAGAGAGUUCAAGAGUACGUGAAACCGCUCGGAGGCAAACGGGUGGGCCCUCGAAGGUCGAACGGGGGGGAUUCAACCCGUCCGCAGGCAUGGUUGCGCGUCACGGAUGGUGAGGCAUCGGGGGUUUUCUCCCCGUGUCUUGCCUUACGGAUCCGAACGUCGGACCGGUCCGUGACACCAAAGUUAUAUCUUUGCGGCGACCGCGGGCGGGCGCACUUCCCCCCUCAGUAGGACGCCGCGACCGGUCGGGUAUCGAAAGAUAAAGCGGCUUUGCAGCGGGACUACGGCAGGUAUCCGUCGCCGGUCACCUUUCUCUCGUCCUUUGUGGCGGGUGAAAAGCCGGUCGGAAUUACAGCUGGUCUCCGCUUCGGUUGCUGCCCGACCGAGGAACUGCGUGCCCGCGCUGUCAUGUGACUUCGGUUGCGUGAGACGCGCGGUUCGCCCACCUGGCAGGCUGGGCCACCGGGUACCGGACGCCCCUAGUUUGGCGGUCGGCUAUCUCGCUGUGGCUCGCUGGUGGUCGGGCGUAGCUGCUCUCGUGGUGGCGCUCGUGGUCAGCGGCGAGUAGGUCGGUCGCCCACCCGACCCGUCUUGAAACACGGACCAAGGAGUCUAACAUGUGCGCGAGUCGCAGGGUUGACUCGCAAGUUGUAACCCGAAGGCGAAAUGAAAGUGAAAGUCGGUGCGUCUGGCCGACUGAUGCGGGAUCUGUCCGGGUAUCGCUGCAGCUCUCGAGGGGGUCUGCGGGAGCCCGGUGGCGCACCACCGGCCCGUUCUCAGUACUAUCGU
rnacentral:rRNA from 1 species